UGGCUCAGAGGCAGAAUCACUGCAGUCUCUGUCCGUGUAAACCUGUGACUGUAUGCAGAUGUCAGCGGUGUGUCAGGUGUGCUGGUCCUUUUACUCACUCACUUACAGCAUGGAGACGUGGACUCUACACAUUUUAUCUUCAGUGGACUAGAAAUAUUUUAAUUUCAAAGUCAUCUGCAGGCUUCUGUUGCACAAUGUAUUCAAGUAUCCCAUCUCAAUGAAUGAGAAUAUAUUUAUUCUUAUUUGUUGAGGAGCACCUGCACUGUGCCAGGGCUCUCAAGUCUCACGCAUUCAGCGUGUGACACACGCAUUCCCACCCGUUCACACGCUCACACGCCACACAUUGUAUUUCUCACGCAUUUAAAUGAACAUGGUGAUGUCCACCAAGUUGCACCUCUUUAACUAUGGAACAGGUAGAAAUCAACUGAGUUCGUCCGAGAGUUCAGAAGCUGCGUGCCACGCGCAAGCCAAUCAAAUAAAGUAUAUAUACUGAACAGCUAAUCAAAAAUCAGCAUUGCUGUAUUCGGGUAGAUUUUGAUAUCUUGCGGUUUGACUACAGAAGAAGACAGACACUCGCCGUAAUAGAGCAGGUUUUUAUAAGGACGAGAUAGACCCGAUGAUUACAGUAAGUCAGUAACCUUCACAUGCAGAGACCUCAACACCUCAUGGCAGAUAAACUCAUAUGAUAAACUAAAGCCCUAUGCUAUUGCUAUUAACAGCUGUAUUGACGGAUUUAGCCUCUGUACAGUCAUUUCCAGCCAUUUUCCCCUCCACAAAAGCAGCAUUUCUCAUAUAUCUCAAAUAUAAGUUCUGAUACUCAUGACAGUGUAAUGCUCAUGUACCAAAGGAUUAAGUAUCUCCAUGUUUGUGAAACCUAUACUAAAGUACAAUUCAUCUAAAUGCUCCACAGUGCUGAUUUUAACAACUCUCCUUCACAACAGGUAACUUUACGACUUAAUACUGAUAUUAAUGACUUUAUUCUCCCAAAUAAUAACUUUAUUCUUUAAGAUUUAAAAACGUUUUUUUUUUCUAAUUGUGCCCCUUAUACUCCGUUGUAUUUAAGAGAUAAUUAUACUAAUAAUUAUCUUCAAUCACGAAAAAUAACCUCCACUUCGAGAGAUAUUUAUAUUCCAUUGAGAUUAAAGUAAAUUAAAGAUAAUGUUAAACUUUUAGAUAUAACCUACCAGUGUAAGUGUUUUUCUAAAGUAAACAGCAUUUUAAAUCUCCAUGGUAACCUGCAACGAUGUAAAAACUUUAAAUCAUUACAAGCCAAAGAGAGCGGUCAUUUCUGAAGAUCAAAUCUGAAGAGAACAGCACGAAAAACUUAAGCGGCUCACGACCUUACAACUUUUGACGGCUUCAUCGUAAAUAAAACCUCACCAGACGACUAAGGACUCGGACAAACACCUCUAACCAACACCUGAACAAAGAGGACAACAUCUACGACAUGGAGACCGUAAGAUUUCAUGACAAUAUUAUCAUACAAACUUGUGUUACUGUCGAGACUUUCGUGAUGGUUAAGCGAUGCAUCGACAAGGAUUAAAUGUGUGCAUGGAUAUUUACAGUGUUUAUGACUUUAAUGUGACAGGCAUUAUCAAAACUAGAAAAAAUUGCAUUUCCUUGCAGAAAAUGCGUGGAAAUGCAUUUCCAAACCACAUGCUGAGUGCUGGAAGCUGAAAAAGCAAUGCUAAACUGCUUAAAAAAAAUGGAGGAAGGUUUAAAUGUAAAAUUGGUUAAAGAGCUGGAGAAAGAAAAGUAGAAGUUAGAUGAAAGUGAAAAUUGCUGAAGUACAAAUAGUAUGAAUGUGCUUCAUAAAUUAAAAUUGCGUUCAUGCUGAAUAAGGCUAGAAAAACUGUCUGAAAUUGCAAAAAAAGUUGUACUAGUGAUAUUAGUAGUCAUGUAAGCAGUAGAAGUAGUUUUAGAAUAGAAGUAGAAGUCAAAGCAGUAGAGCUCGUGGUAGAAGUAAAAAAAAUAUUAAGAGACGCAAGAGCAGUGGAGGUAGAAGUGAAGAUACAAGUUAAAGUGAUAUCAGUAGUAAUUGUAGUGGUAGAACUGGGAUUUUGUUUGAAGAAUUAAAACAUACAUAAAUAAUGAGAAUGAUUUUGAAAUGGGAAAAAUUUUGAAUAAUUAGAAGUCCUAAAGUGUUAAACAGGUUUGAAGUAUCAGAAAGGUUUGAAUCGGUUUGAAUGAGUUUGGAUUUGUCUGACGAAUUUAAUAAUGCAUGAAUAAUGAGAAUAAUUUUAAAGUGGGGAAAAGUUUAAUAAAAAAAAUCCUGAGUACACCCCAUAAUGUCCUCAAUGAGCUGAAUUUUUGAAGCCCAGAAUGUUUUCUGUAGCUCAAAGUUUGUGGGUGGAGAUAGGUGGUGAUGCAGACACAUAUUAACGGUGUGUACAUGCAGGUCUUUUAGACACAGACACAUGCACACACAUUUUCAGACUGUGUGUGUGUGUGUCUCGUUAAUGAUUGCAUCCUAAACAGCUGUGAGAUCAAAGGCAUUAACUGACCUACUGUUUGAAUGAGAAGCUGCCUCUGGACUUCUUCACAUAGCACGAUUUCCUUAUAUCCCAGAAUGAAAAUAAGAACAUCGUACGAAUCCUCCGCCCUUCAUGAACACAAUGAAUGUGGCCACAACAGUGAGUUAAAAGUCUAGACGUUCGGAUGGUUAUCUUAAAAGUGAUGCAUUGACAUCACAUGAAAGUCCUGCCCACCAUGUCAAAGACUCUUCGUGCUUAAGAGCAGAAAAGCUCAUGUUAUUGUGAGAAAUCUCUAUAAGAGGUUUUUUUUGUCUCCUGGGCUAUUUAAAGCCGUCAGUCUGAAACUUAUUUGACAGUUUCUUUACUAACCAAUGCUUUCUUAUUUCUUCUUUAAAUCUGCACAGAAGAGUCAACCCAUUCCUGUAAAAGGAGAAGCUCUGAGAAUUGCGUGCUCGGGCUUCAACAGGAGGUAAGAAACACGUUUAACUUAUGAUGACAGUAAAAUGCAAACUCAAAUUUAUAGGGGUGUGAUAUUAAACAGUAGUUUAACAAUGUGUCUCUAAAACAAUCUUUUACCUCUUUUGCAUUAAUAUGCAGAGUGUAACAUUUGAAACAUGACAGAGACCUCCCAGCAGAUUAUAAUCUGGGACAGUUCAGAGUUAAAUCUGUGACAGUGCCAGCAAAAAUGUAAAGAUUCGCAAAUUUAGGAUUUGAUUUUGGACUUACACUGUGUUGUGUUUCAAACUCUUUUUGUCACAAGACACAUGUAUUUAUGUUAUACAUUUCAGUGGUUAUUUUAACUGAAUAAGACAAUUCAAAGGCUUCACAUAAGACAUUUACUGAUCAAUUAAUCAGUCAGACAAAGGAAAUGUGUAAAAACACUAAAUGAAAUAAAGUUUUAUCAUUGUUUGCUCUUACUGGGAGUCUCUAGUCAAAAACUAGUAAAGUCAGGUAUGAUAGAUAAGAUACUCCUUUAUUAGUCCCACAAGGGGAAUUUCCCAGUAAGGGAAACAAAGACCAUUUUAAUUUACUGUGUUUGAAAUUGAAGGAAAAACAUGUUUUGUAUGAGGCCUUUCCCGGAUAAUAUGCAUUAAAAAAGCUUUGUUUUAAAAACGCUGUGUCAACUUAAAGAGAUUCAGCACUUAGGUUUUUAAUGAAUAAGUGUGAACAAAGAGGGGGUUCAUUUAUCAAUAACAACAACACAAACACAGGGAAUAACCUUCAGGUAUUUUAAAUCACUGUGAGUGUGCUGUAUUACUUUUUCAGUUUGACUCUGAUACUUCCUCAAAGACCAUCCAGUGCGUGUUUAUUGUAUUUUAUCGUCUGAAUAUCACCAUGGUUUGAGUCUGUGUGACUGUCAUGUGUCUCUGCAGAUAUUUCUGUUUAUGGAUUUGUUUUGUUCAUUAAAAUAACCAACCUGUGUUUCUGUGUUGACCAGUGACACUGCGUCAGAGGCUUCUAACGCAGAAAACUGCAGCCCAACGAACUUUUGGCUGCACAGGCUGUUUGGUCAACCUCUGGUAUGUUUCAGAGCUGUUAAAAUAAGAUCAUUUUAUAAGUGUGACAUUUAAAAUCAGACACUACAAAUAUUUGACACGGUGGGUUUUCAUUUUUAUAUUUGUUGUUACUCCACAGAGAAAAGUCAGAAGUCUAAUCAGCAGUCAGCAGAGGUGAGUAAACUGCUCCAACAAUCAGCUGUUUAUUUGUGCAGCCACAAAAGCUUCUGAUAAAUAUUGACUAGUCACUGCAGACUCCUUUAAAAACAUCAGUACAGGUUGUUAAAACAAAUGUCACCACACGGUAAUGGUGUGUGCUUGUGUCUGCAGAGAGUUCACCUCUAAUGGUCUGGCUGGAUCCACAGCACCCCCACCUGGGGAGAAAAACAAGAAACCGAAGGAGAAGAAAUGGAGUUGUUCUUGGUUUUUUAAAUGCUGUAGUGUAAGUAAAGCAUAGGAAUACCAGUCUGGACUUCAGUGUUGUUAUAAGCAUUAGUUUUGGUUUAUCUUUCAGUUGAUUCUGUUACUGACAAAUCAAAAUUAUUUUUACUCCAUUAGAGAGAAAAGCGUGUGUCUCCUCUCUCUGAUCAUAAAGAUCAGCAAAAGCCUCCUCGGGAACUCCAGAGAAGGUAACAAACUCAUUUUGUUCACAGGAUGGAUCAAUUUUGGUGUCACCUGAUGAGUUAAAUCAUCACGUGACACAAAUCAGGUGUUAUCAACUCUUUCUUAAAGCUCCCGUGAGUAAUUUUUGGUUUGUGUUGCUUCCUAUGCUUCUUUUCAUAACCUCUCUUUCAAAUUGCGUUAAGUCUUGUUUUCAAACAAAAAAUCUCCCUGCUCAAUUUUAAAAGUCAUUGGUCAUCUUCACCUGAGAUAUUUUUGAAAAAGCCUUUUUAAAAAGCUUCAAUCUAGCUAAAUCAUCUGACACCUAUACCCCUGACAACAGUUUCUAACCUCACAAAUAACUUUGUAGAGAUGAACAAACCCUUCAAAGGUGGUCUGAUUUGCUUUUUAAGGCCACACAGAGGCAUCCCUAUCAAUAUCAGUCAGUUAUAAUCGGAUGAAAAUUCCCCACAGUAGCUUUAACAUGAAGUCACUUGUACAUGAAAAUCAAUAUAUCGGCUAAAAGGUAGAAAGGUAAAAAGUUGGUAAAAAAAACAAGGUAAAAACAACCUUUUAGUUGUUGGAGCUGUUGUGUUCAGCUGGUUGGCUGUACUGUGUAAAACUAUCUUGUGUGGAAAUGCUGUGAUGUGCUGUUGAAGAGAGGCUUCGUCUAAACUUGGGUAGAAUAGAAAAGAAAAGAAGUUGUAGAGAAGAAAAAGAUGUUAAAAGAGAGAAAAAGAAAGAAGAGAAAAAGUUAAAGAGACAAAGUGAAAAAGAGAAAAAGGCUGAGAUGGCCCAGGAAUAGAGAAGCAAAAGGCUGAGAUGGCCGAAAAAGAAAAAGUUAACUUAAUGUUUGGGAAGUCGUGAUUGGGCAUAACAAAUCGGUAAGGACAGUUUAAAGAAAAAAAAAAAGGCCUAUAUACUAUAGUAAGGAAACAUUGAGCUCAGUGAGACGAGGUGUGCUGAAGUUUGAGUGUGUGAGAGAAGCUUCUGGUGUGUGUGUGAAAGGAGUGUGUGUAUGGGUGCUGAGUGUGAGUGUAAAAGAGUCUGUGUGUAGUAAGUGGUGUGUGCACAAAGUUGGGGAAUGGUCUAGCAUAGGUAUAAGUGAUUAACGUAUGAUAAAGUGAUAAAUGAUAGCUUAUUAAAUAUAUAAUGAUAUGAUAUAAGAAUUUAACAUUUAAGGGAAGAGAUACUGUUGCCUUUGUAGUGUUAAAAACAUAUGAGCCCUGUUUUUCUUUGUACAGGGACGUUAAUAGAAUAAGUAACUGCUAUGAGCCUCUCAGGAUAAAGAGGACGUUUGUACAUCUAAUAGUAAGAAAUGAGCCCCUUAUUAGAUGAGGAGGACUUUGGAUGGUGAUAACAUCCUCAAUUAAAAUGGCAAUUAAAGAACUGUAAAGACCAGCAAGCACAUUUGUGUUCAUACAAAUACAGGAAAAAAACAGAGUAAGAGAGUGGAGUAAAAAGGAAUGAUUUGCUAACUGAUGAGUGUGGUUUUCCUCUGUGUGUGUGUGAAUAUUUAAAGUGAACGGUCACUUGCUGAUGAUUAUGUUUAGAGGGAAGUCCUAGUUAAAAAUUAGGAGAAUCCAGGGAGCUUUUCCUCCCCCUUUCUUUCUCUUCUUACAGGCCUGAGAACAGAAAGAAAGCUAAAAAAUCUAGUUUAACUAUCCUAGUUGUGUGAAAAUUUUAAAUGGUAUACCAUGGUAAAGGGGAAUGGUGUAUAAUAAAUUUUAGUAGUUAGAUAGUAGAAGAAAUCUUUAAAUAGUGGUAGUAAAUGUUUUAAAUUGUAUUGAAUGAAGUGAUUGUAAUGUACUAAACAUUUGAUUUGUUCUUUGUCCCUAACUCUGAUGCAUGAGAGAGGAGAGGAGAAUGAAAAGCAUCUGACGCUGGAGCGCCCAUAAGACAGAUAAGAAGAUAAAUGGCUGUGCUGCAACAAGAGGGGGCUUGCGGAUGAGAGGCUCACCAGGACCUGCUCCCAUUUGACAGGCCAGUAGAGUUUUAUCUACAAACUCUUCUCCUAUGCAUCUGCUGCUACUUAGUUGUACAUACACACACUUAUAGUGGGAACACAUUUAGUUGGGUGUAUACAUUUGUUAGUGCUAGACAAUAAGAGCAGUAGUUUUGUGGGUAAAAAGAAAGGCUUGGCAAUAGACUGACCAGUUGAAAGGGCUGAUUAAGUACCGGAUUAUUGUUGAAUUAAAAGAGCAUUUCCAAGAGGUCUAAAUUUUGCUGAAGCUUGUGGAUGUGGUUUGUCAUUGCUGCUUGGUAAAAUCACACAAAUUGAUCUUUUUUGGGUGUUGAUAAGUUUUAGGUCUCAGGGGAGGCUUCAUGAGAAGCACUAGGGGACAAUCGCGCCCACCCAGAGGACCUGUAAACCCUGAUAGGGGGCCAGAACCUGGAUUUUAGGGGUGCCCAGAAGACCUAAAAGGGGGGUGUCAGCUGGUAAUGUCAGGGCCAGAACAAGAGCCAGCCAUUGAUGUGAAAGUUAAUGAUAAACCAUUGACAGUUAUGGCAGAUUGCGGAGCUGCUUUCACCUGUGUUAGGCCCAAAGAUGCUAUACAUCUCCCCAUGUCUGGCCAAUUGGUACAGACAAUAGGUUUUGAGGGUGUGAAACAGCUGAUACCUCUUACAGAACCCAUUGAGCUCUGCUAUAAAAAUCAAAAGACCACAAUACCGAUACUAGUGUCAGAACAAACACCUAUUGCACUUUUGGGCAGAGAUGCUUUGUGUAGGUUGAAGUGCACAAUACGAUGCACACCAGACGGCUGUCGGGUGGAUGUACCAAGUGAUAGUUGGCAACAACUAUUUAUGAAAACAGAGACUGAAGCAUCUGCAGUGUUUUGGAUUGGGAACCUUAGCCAGGAGUUGCUAGAGCCAGCAAAGCUGUGGGAGAAAUUUAUUGUGGCCAAUAUGACUGAGGUGAAAUUACCUGAGUAUCCAUACCACUGUACACUGAAGUAUUUUAAAGAUGCUACACAGACCAACUCAGCAGACUGGUUGAAGCAGCAACCAAAACAAGUCCAGCUUAGCUCCAGUUCAAUAAUUUUGGGGCCACAAGGAGCAGCUAUGAAGAUAGAGAGUAAUGAAUAUCUUGAAAAAGAACAUGACAUCGAGGAAAGCAUUCCUCACGUGACUUUGAUGGUAGCUGAGACCUAUGAACAGAAGCAUAUAGGCUCAAUGAUGGUAGAAGCAGAGAAAGCUAUUUUUACACCAGUUAAGGAAAAUCCUGCUAUUUGGGUGAGUGAGGAUCAGCAGUUCAUAAGGAUUGUUAUCUCUGCUCACGGACAGGGUCAGCCACAAGCUGUACAGAUGACACAUGAGUCAAUUUGCAGUGCUAAACUUGACUCAGACGCUAUAAAAAAAGACAUGCUACAACACGUGCCAGAACAUCUGUGGUCUCGAUAUAGCACUGAUAUUGGACUGGUAAAAUCAGCUCAACCAGUAAAAGUUGAACUUCGACCAGGCACCAAGCCUCCUUGGAAGAAUCAAUAUCCAUUGAAAAAAGAGGCAAUACAAGGUAUUGGAUCUCAAAUUGAAGGAUUGGUACAAGCAGGUGUGUUAGGGAUAACUCAGAACCCUCAAAGCAAUACACCACUGUUACCUUUGCAGAAACCAGAUGGCACAUACCGCCUGGUACAUGAUUUGAGAGCAGUAAAUGACGUGGUGGUAGAUUUUCCAGCUGAUGUACCAGACCCCCACACUUUAUUAGCCCAAAUCCCGCCAGAUGAUACUCAUUUUACAGUGUUGGACCUGUGUGGAGCAUAUUUCAGUGUUCCUUUGAGCACAGAGAGUGGAGAGUUAUUUGGAUUUACUUAUGAAGGGCAGUCCUAUGUGUACAAGAGGUUACCACAAGGAUUCAAACAUAGUCCUCACAUUUUCAAUAAAGUGUUGAAAGAGGAUUUGAAAGGAUUGGAACAAAUGUUGAACAGCACUGUGGUGCAGUAUGUUGAUGACAUUAUUAUCUGUUCACCGGAUAAAGAAACAUGUCACAAAGAUUCAAUAAAAUUACUGCAAAUUCUGGCUGAAAAAGGACACAAGGCAUCGCAGAAGAAGUUGCAAUAUUGUCGGGAUAAGGUAGUGUACCUGGGUCAGACAAUAACUAAAGGACACAGAAGCAUUUCGGACAGUCAUUUAGAAGCCAUUCGAAAGACUCCCAAGCCAAGAACAGUCAGAGAAAUGAUGACAUUUCUAGGGAUUGCUGGGUAUUCAUCAGCAUGGAUAGAGGACUAUGCCAGUCUGACAGGGCCACUGAGAGCUAUGAUUAAAGAGACAGGAAGUGCACAACUUCAUUGUAAUCUCAUGUGGACACAGGAGGGUCUAAUAGCCUUUGAAACUAUCAAACAAAGACUACAAGAAGCCCCAGCACUAGCACUCCCAGACUACUCCAAGAAUUUUCUGUUGUAUGUAUCUACCUCAACUGGGGGUAAAUAUGCCUGUGCAGUUCUUUGUCAGCCAACAGGAACAGGAACAAGCCCUCAACCCAUUUCUUAUUAUUUGGCUGCAUUUUCAGAAGUAGAGUUAGGGAUGCCUUUAUGUUAUAGAGCAAUGGUGGCAGUUCAUCUCAUGUAUGACAAGGCAUCAUCUGUGACAAUGGGUUACCCAGUGACAAUUCUUGCUCAUCAUAGUCUCAGAAAUCUUCUGAAUUAUGGUAAAUUUACAUUGACUAUGCCUAGACUCAGAAGUUAUCAUAGACUGUUAGAGCAAGAGGAUGUCACCUUGGUGAAGUGUAACACAAUAAAUCCAGCUGAGAAUCUGCCAACUCCAGAAGAUGGGGAGCCACAUGAUUGUGUGAAGGAAUCAGAGAGACAUUCAAAACUACGGUCAGACUUGCAAGCCCUUCCACUUCAGAAAUCAGAUGUAGAGUAUUGGACUGAUGGGUCGUGUUAUCGGAUAGGAGACAAAUUGAGCGCUGGCUAUGCAGUUGUAAAAGCUGAAGGAGAUGGAUUUGUUGUCGAAAAGGCAAAAACAGUGCAACAACCAGCAUCUGCACAGCUGGCUGAACUUGUAGGACUAACCGAAGCAUGUCUUUUGGCAGAAGACAAACGAGUGACAAUUUACACAAACUCUGCAUAUGCACAUAAUGUUUGUCACUUGUUCGGAGCACUGUGGAAAAAUCGGGGAUUUAAGAAAACAGAUGGGUCUCCUAUACAGCAUCAUGCCCAGAUAACCAAAUUGCUGCAUGCAAUGAUGAAGCCAAAAGAAAUAGCAAUAGCUAAGUGUGCAGCACAUAAAGGGGACAUGUCAAGAGUAAGUCAGGGCAACAGAGCAGCUGAUGAGGCUGCAAAAGCUGUUACAGGGGCAGAUAAAGAAGGCAAAGUUCUUCUGGUCACUCAUGAAGUAGACUUAGAAGAUAAAAUCACCCUCAAAGACAUAGUCUCAAUGCAAGAAGUGGCCUCUGAAAUAGACAAACAGUUAUGGCGUGACCGAGGUGCAACACAGGAUACCACAGGAUUGUGGAGGAAUCAUGAAGGCCUGAUGGUGGCACCUCCAGACCUACUUGGAUUAUUGAUUCAAGAGGCACAUGGGUUAGCACAUGUUGCAAGGGGGGAAGUUAAAAGAAACAUCAUAAAGGAGUAGGUUUCUGGACACCACAUUUGUGUGAGCAAAUUGAUUUAUCAUAAGUAGAUGUACAAUGUGUCUGAAAAAUAAUGUUCGAAGGUGUAACAGUUGAAGUUUAUUCAACCAAGUGGAAACAUGCUCAGUAUGUUGCCAAGUUCUUGUGUGGGGAGGUCAUAAGCAGAUGGGGACUUUCAGAGUAAAUAUUCUAAGAUAAUGGAGAAGAGUGUGUGGAUAAAACAGUGAAACUGAUUUGAAAAAACUAAGAACUGAACAAUGUUUGGGAGCUGUGUACCAUCCGCAAAGCCAAGGUUUCUGUGAAAAAAUGAAUGGGGUGAUGAAAAACCCGCUGGGUAAGAUUGGCCAGUACAGGUUUACAUUUUGAUGUCAUGAAGGGGGAGUAUUACGUAGGGGAAAAUAGGAUAAACAUGUCAAACAAACAAAAAUGUAUGUUUUUGGCAAGAUACUGCUUAAUUUUUUCAUUCUCAGGACAGCAGUUGGGGAGACCAGCGAAAGAAAGGUGGUUCUCCAGAGAUCUAAACAGCCUUAAUGGACC